rnacentral:rRNA from 1 species
CGGGACACGUGGUAUCCUGUCUGAAUAUGGGGGGACCAUCCUCCAAGGCUAAAUACUCCUGACUGACCGAUAGUGAACCAGUACCGUGAGGGAAAGGCGAAAAGAACCCCGGCGAGGGGAGUGAAAAAGAACCUGAAACCGUGUACGUACAAGCAGUGGGAGCCUCUUAAUGGGGUGACUGCGUACCUUUUGUAUAAUGGGUCAGCGACUUAUAUUCUGUAGCAAGGUUAACCGAAUAGGGGAGCCGAAGGGAAACCGAGUCUUAACUGGGCGUUAAGUUGCAGGGUAUAGACCCGAAACCCGGUGAUCUAGCCAUGGGCAGGUUGAAGGUUGGGUAACACUAACUGGAGGACCGAACCGACUAAUGUUGAAAAAUUAGCGGAUGACUUGUGGCUGGGGGUGAAAGGCCAAUCAAACCGGGAGAUAGCUGGUUCUCCCCGAAAGCUAUUUAGGUAGCGCCUCGUGAAUUCAUCUCCGGGGGUAGAGCACUGUUUCGGCAAGGGGGUCAUCCCGACUUACCAACCCGAUGCAAACUGCGAAUACCGGAGAAUGUUAUCACGGGAGACACACGGCGGGUGCUAACGUCCGUCGUGAAGAGGGAAACAACCCAGACCGCCAGCUAAGGUCCCAAAGUCAUGGUUAAGUGGGAAACGAUGUGGGAAGGCCCAGACAGCCAGGAUGUUGGCUUAGAAGCAGCAAUCAUUUAAAGAAAGCGUAAUAGCUCACUGGUCGAGUCGGCCUGCGCGGAAGAUGUAACGGGGCUAAACCAUGCACCGAAGCUGCGGCAGCGACACUAUGUGUUGUUGGGUAGGGGAGCGUUCUGUAAGCCUGUGAAGGUGUACUGUGAGGUAUGCUGGAGGUAUCAGAAGUGCGAAUGCUGACAUAAGUAACGAUAAAGCGGGUGAAAAGCCCGCUCGCCGGAAGACCAAGGGUUCCUGUCCAACGUUAAUCGGGGCAGGGUGAGUCGACCCCUAAGGCGAGGCCGAAAGGCGUAGUCGAUGGGAAACAGGUUAAUAUUCCUGUACUUGGUGUUACUGCGAAGGGGGGACGGAGAAGGCUAUGUUGGCCGGGCGACGGUUGUCCCGGUUUAAGCGUGUAGGCUGGUUUUCCAGGCAAAUCCGGAAAAUCAAGGCUGAGGCGUGAUGACGAGGCACUACGGUGCUGAAGCAACAAAUGCCCUGCUUCCAGGAAAAGCCUCUAAGCAUCAGGUAACAUCAAAUCGUACCCCAAACCGACACAGGUGGUCAGGUAGAGAAUACCAAGGCGCUUGAGAGAACUCGGGUGAAGGAACUAGGCAAAAUGGUGCCGUAACUUCGGGAGAAGGCACGC